rnacentral:lncRNA from 1 species
GUUGCUUCUGGUAUCUGGGGUGUCCCACCGCUACCCCCAUGUGAGUGCCUGGCACAUAUAGAUACUUGAUACCUGCUUGCUGAAUAAAUGAAUAAGUGCAACUUGACUGGAUGAUGAGAGGCACAGCUGAGUCCGGAGCAGACUGAGCCACCUAAGAGGGGAGGAACCGCUGCAGAGAAACCGUGUUAAGCCUUUUUGAAGUUCCAGAGGGAGAACAAGAGAGCGGAGGCUCCUGGUGGCUGGUGACAGCUGCUCUUGGCUGGGAGAGCAGAGAACAGGGGACAGGAGAGAAGCCCCGAGAGUACUGAAGCUGAGGCUGGGGCGGUCUUCACUUCCCUCUUUCCUCGGCCCUUUUCCUGUUCUCUUGUCUUGUCUCUCUUUCUCUACUUUCCUUCUCCCUAGCCCAGUCUCUCACCGCUCUUCAGCCUCUGGGCCUUUCCUUCUUCCUCUCUUGCCCUCAUUCUUCCUUCUCUGUCCCUCUUGUCUUCUCUUUUACCUCUUCUCUUCUUCCCUCCUUCCUACAGCUAUGCCCUCUUCCCUCCUUUCUCUUGUCCCCAACCAGGGCAUUAGAAAUGCAUUCCAGUUACACUGAUCUGAUCACUGCAUAUUGUAUGCAUGCAUCAAAAUAUCACAUGUACCCCAGAAAUAUGUAAAUUACUGCAUAUCAAUAAAAAGAAAUGUAGCUUCUUUGCCUCACAUACAGAAAAGCCAAUCUGAAGUAUAAAUAAAUAAACAAACAAAUAAAUAAAACGAACCACACUGGCCCCCCCG